rnacentral:lncRNA from 10 species
AAAAUUGCUGUAGAAUAUGAUAAAGAUUAAUAGAGGCUUUGGGAAAGGCCUGUUUCCUGGCACUAAAAGUAGCCAGUCUUGGCGUGAACAGCCCUUGACAAUUCCCAGCAUAUGGUAAGAGAAGACGCUUCUGCCCACCCAUCAGGCAUGGAAAGGAGCAAUAAUACACGCAACACUGAACAGGACCAUGCCCUCUUCUAAAUGACAUUAUGGACUUCCCGACACUUGAAAAUGGUGAGGACUCUGACACAUCCAGAUUUUGUAAGUUGCAUAGAAUGAAUUUCACAGGACGCAUCCAAUUCAUGGACUCUUACAAGUUUGUAUCAACACCUACAGCUCUGACCUCUGGGAAUGAAGAAGAUACUUAACAAUAGUUUUGAUGGACUAGAAAAUCAACAGAGAUAAUAUCCAUAUUCGUAUUGGUAGCCCCAUUGUAUUUAGAUAGUGUGAGCCAGCAGUGUUCACUUCCACCCAAUUCAGGGACUUCCUCUAGCAAGGUAUUGCAGUUUGGAAGUGGGAACAGAAGAGACUGUGCAAUCUUCACAGGAGAACAUUGUCAUGACAAAGAGGACAAACAAGUUCAAGGCAAAAAACUAAACCAUAACCUUGGGAUUCAAGGAAAAAGUCAUCAAGCACAGAGGGGGAAUAAAUGAAAGAAUAUAUCUCAGAGUUUUGGGAAGCCAUAAGGAUACUUAACA